rnacentral:snRNA from 1 species
GAGACUAUCUAUGCAAACAUGAAUCAGAAUACUCCGCUAAUAUUUAUUUUGUCUGUUGGAGCUGAUCCAACAUAAUUAU